CGGGGCGUGGCGCAGCCUGGCUAGCGCGCUUGGUUCGGGACCAAGAGGUCGUGGGUUCGAAUCCCACCGCCCCGACAA
rnacentral:tRNA from 1 species